CAAACGGUAUCAACGGUAUCCCCCAACCCGACAGGUUAAGGACUAAUUCGUCGCGGAUCUGAGCUCCAUUUAAGGGUCUGCCGCUGGCCAAUGGGUUGCUGCAUGCACAAGACGAGGUUUGAACUCCCGACACUUACUUAAGCGGACGAGUGAGCUGACCACUCGACCAACCCAAGUUGGUUGGUUAGUACACUUAUUAUUUAGUGUUAUAUUCACAGCACGUCACAAGAUAAAGCCUUUGUUGGAAUUGUUAUAGUUAGAUCGAAUUCUAGACAAUCAAAGA